GUCCAUGCCGUAAACGUUGGGAACUAGAUGUAGGUACCAUUCCACGGUUUCUGUGUCGCAGCUAACGCAUUAAGUUCCCCGCCUGGGGAGUACGGCCGCAAGGCUAAAACUCAAAGGAAUUGACGGGGGCCCGCACAAGCGGCGGAGCAUGCGGAUUAAUUCGAUGCAACGCGAAGAACCUUACCAAGGCUUGACAUAUACCGGAAAAGUUCAGAAAUGUUCUCCCCGCAAGGUCGGUAUACAGGUGGUGCAUGGUUGUCGU
rnacentral:rRNA from 1 species